CCAGCUCUCUUUGCCAAAUGGCUUAGAUCAAGUGUAGUAUCUGUUCUUUUCAGUUUAAUCUCUGAAAGGUCUCUACUGAGACCAAUCGUGAUUAUUCUUAUUUUUGAUCUUGGGGCUGGUUUCCGCUGUGCAUGCACAUGAUUCCGCCCACAGUGUCCCUGGUAUUACACUGCCUCCAGGCGACGCGAACAUCC
rnacentral:snRNA from 1 species